ACAGGAUUAGAUACCCUGGUAGUCCACGCCGUAAACGAUGUCGACUUGGAGGCUGUUUCCUUGAGAAGUGGCUUCCGGAGCUAACGCGUUAAGUCGACCGCCUGGGGAGUACGGUCGCAAGGUUAAAACUCAAAUGAAUUGACGGGGGCCCGCACAAGCGGUGGAGCAUGUGGUUUAAUUCGAUGCAACGCGAAGAACCUUACCUACUCUUGACAUCCACGGAAUUUGGCAGAGAUGCCUUAGUGCCUUCGGGAACCGUGAGACAGGUGCUGCAUGGCUGUCGUCAGCUCGUGUUGUGAAAUGUUGGGUUAAGUCCCGCAACGAGCGCAACCCUUAUCCUUUGUUGCCAGCGAUUCGGUCGGGAACUCAAAGGAGACUGCCGGUGAUAAACCGGAGGAAGGUGGGGAUGACGUCAAGUCAUCAUGGCCCUUACGAGUAGGGCUACACACGUGCUACAAUGGCGCAUACAAAGAGAAGCGACCUCGCGAGAGCAAGCGGACCUCAUAAAGUGCGUCGUAGUCCGGAUCGGAGUCUGCAACUCGACUCCGUGAAGUCGGAAUCGCUAGUAAUCGUGGAUCAGAAUGCCACGGUGAAUACGUUCCCGGGCCUUGUACACACCGCCCGUCACACCAUGGGAGUGGGUUGCAAAAGAAGUAGGUAGCUUAACCUUCGGGAGGGCGCUUACCACUUUGUGAUUCAUGACUGGGGUGAAGUCGUAACAAGGUA
rnacentral:rRNA from 1 species